GGGUAUAAGGGCAGUCUGGAUACAACAUCUGAUCACCAGGGUUGAUUUGACUGAUCUGGCUGCCUGGGCAGUUUUCCUCUUCCUUGCUCUUUGCUCUAUGUGGAUCCUUCCUGAAGCUGUACCCUCACUUGAAGGGGGAUGAACUUCCUGGACAGAAGAGGACCAUUUAUUGGUUUAGAGAAGAGCUCAUUAAACUGCAGGCAAUACUCUAUAUGGGCUCACAUAACUGAAUAUGGAGGUUAUGAAAAAUUGGGUGACAGCAAAAGGUGUCUGAGUGUGCAAAAACUUAAUU
rnacentral:sRNA from 1 species